GUCACACACAUUAGAGGUUCCUAUCUGAUCUGAUGGCUGAUGUAGAAUCCUACAUGUUUAAGACUCGAUGAUCAAGAAUCAGGAUUCUCUGAUCACGAGUUCCACACAUUAUGGGUACCGGGGUCAAGAGUCCCACUGGUUGGGACUUUUCGAUCAGGGUUACAUAUCGAUGAAUUCUGAUGCCCGAUUGCCUAUCGAAUUUGGACUCAGUAUUUAUGAGAGGUU
rnacentral:lncRNA from 1 species